rnacentral:snoRNA from 1 species
AAGACUAUACCUUUCAGGGAUAAUUUUUAUAGUUCAUUAGUAGAGAAGUUUCUCUGACCGUGUAGAGCCCCCAAAACCACGAGGGAGGAGCCAGAGCAUCCUCUCCUGAGUGUGAAGCCGGGUUCUAGGUAAUGGCUUUCCGCAAAUGCCUUUUACCACUGAUCAUUUUCAUAGUUCUUCUCCUAUCCUGGGAAAAGGAAGAGUGAAAGGGUGCAGUCUGAGUGG